rnacentral:rRNA from 1 species
GAUGUGAAAGCCCACGGCUCAACCGUGGAGGGUCAUUGGAAACUGGGGAACUUGAGUGCAGAAGAGAAAAGCGGAAUUCCACGUGUAGCGGUGAAAUGCGUAGAGAUGUGGAGGAACACCAGUGGCGAAGGCGGCUUUUUGGUCUGUAACUGACGCUGAGGCGCGAAAGCGUGGGGAGCAAACAGGAUUAGAUACC